rnacentral:rRNA from 1 species
GACGAACGCUGGCGGCGUGCUUAACACAUGCAAGUCGAACGAAGUGGCGAACGGGUGAGUAACGCGUAAUCAACCUGCCCUUCAGAGGGUGACAACAGUUGGAAACGACUGCUAAUACCGCCUACUUAAGGCGGUGAUUGCGUCUGAUUAGCUAGUUGGGGGGGUAAGGGCCCACCAAGGCGAUGAUCAGUAGCCGGUCUGAGGGGAUGAACGGCAAGAUUGGGCAAGGGAAACGGCCAAGACUGCUAAGGGAGGCAGCAGUGGGGAAACUUCCGCAAUGGACGAAAGUCUGACGGAGCAACGCCGCGGGAGUGAGGACGGCCUUGGGGUUGUAAAGCUCUGUUAAUCGGGACGCGGUACCGGAAUAGAAAGCCACGGCUAACUACGUGCCAGCAGCCGCGGUAAUAC